rnacentral:rRNA from 1 species
GAUGAACGCUAGCGGGAGGCUUAAUACAUGCAAGUCGAACGGUAACAGACCGAACCUAGUUUGGUGCUGACGAGUGGCGCACGGGUGAGUAACGCGUACGGAACCUGCCCUUAGCUGGGGGAUAGCCCUGGGAAACUGGGAUUAAUACCCCAUAUUAUUGCGAUGAGGCAUCUCAUUGUAAUGAAAGGAUUACGGCAAAGGAUGGUCGUGCGUACUAUUAGGUAGUUGGUGAGGUAACGGCUCACCAAGCCGACGAUAGUUAGGGGGCGUGAGAGCGUGGACCCCCACACGGGUACUGAGACACGGACCCGACUCCUACGGGAGGCAGCAGUAAGGAAUAUUGGACAAUGGGUGAGAGCCUGAUCCAGCCAUCCCGCGUGCAGGAUGACGGCCCUAUGGGUUGUAAACUGCUUUUAUCAGGGAAGAAUAGUUGAGAUUUAUCUCGAUGUGACGGUACCUGAAGAAUAAGCACCGGCUAACUCCGUGCCAGCAGCCGCCGUAAGAC